UACGUAGGGGGCAAGCGUUAUCCGGAAUUAUUGGGCGUAAAGCGCACGUAGGCGGCUUAGCAAGUCGAAUGUGAAAUCCCUCGGCUCAACCAAGGAAGUGCAUCCGAAACUGCUGAGCUUGAGUACUUAAGAGGAUCGCGGAAUUCCCGGUGUAGAGGUGAAAUUCGUAGAUAUCGGGAGGAACACCAGUGGCGAAGGCGGCGAUCUGGGAAGAUACUGACGCUGAGGUGCGAAAGCGUGGGGAGCAAACAGG
rnacentral:rRNA from 1 species